AGAGUUCGGAUCAUGGCUCAGAUUGAACGCUGGCGGGAUGCUUUACAUAUGCAAGUCGAAUGGCAGCACUGACUUCGGUCUGGUGGGUGAGCAGAACGGGUGAGUAAUGUAUCGGAACGUGCCUAGUAGCGGGGGAUAAUCACGCGAAAGCGUAGUUAAUACCGCAUAUUGCCCUUCGGGGGAAAGCGGGGACCCUUCGGGCCUCGCACUAUUAGAGCGGCCGAUAUCGGAUUAGCUAGGUUGGUGGGGUAACGGCUCACCAAGGCGACGAUCCGUAGCUGGUUUUGAGGACGACCAGCCACACUGGGACUGGAGAUACGCCCAGACUCCUACGGGAGGCAGCAAGGGGAAUUUUGGACAAUGGGGGAAACUCCUGAUCCAGCCAUCCCGCAAGGGCGAUGAAGGCCUUCGGGCUAAAGCACUUUUGGCAGGAAAGAAACGGCACGGGAUAAUACCCGUGCAACUGACGGUACCUGCAAGAAUAAGCACCGGCUAAUCCGAUGCCAGCAGCCGCGGUAAUACGUAGGGCAAGCGUUAAUCGGAAUUACUGGUGUAAAGUGUGCGCAGGCGGUUCGGAAAGAAAGAGGGGAAUCCCAGAGCGACCGGAACUGCAUUUUAACUACCGAGCUAGAGUGUGUCAGAGGGAGGUGGAAUUCCGCGUGAGCAGGAAAUGCGGAUAUGCGGAGAACACCGAUGGCGAAGCAGCCUCCUGGGAUAACACUGACGCUCAUGCACGAAAGCGUGGGGAGCAAACAGACGAUGUAUUCUGGUGUCCACGCCCUAAACGAUGUCAACUAGCUGUUGGGGCCUUCGGGCCUUGGUAGCGCAGCUAACGCGUGAAGCCGACCGCCUGGGGAGCAUGGUCAAAGAUUAAACCGCUGAACGAGCCGACCCGCACAAGCGGUGGAUGAUGUGGAUUAAUUCGAUGCAACGCGAAAACCUGUACUCACACCCUUGACAUGUCUGGAAUCCCGAAGAGAUUUGGGAGUGCUGCAAGAGAACCGGGAACACAGGUGCUGCAUGGCUGUCGUCAGCUCGUGUGUCGAGAUGUUGCUAACCCGCAACGAGCGCGGCAACCCUUGUCAUUAGUUGCUACAAAGGUUAAUUUACCGGACUUGUCGGUGACAAACCGGAGGAAGGUGGGGAUGACGUCGUCCGCUUUUUGCCCUUGCGGUAGGGCUUUCACACGUCAUACAAUGGUCGGGACAGAGGGUCGCCAACCCGCGAGGGGGAGCCAAUCCCAGAAACCUGAUCGUAGUCCGGACCGUAGUCUGCAACUCGGACUGCGUGAAGUCGGAAUCGCUAGUAAUCGCGGAUCAGCAUGUCGCGGUGAAUACGUUCCCGGGUCUUGUACACACCGCCCGUCACACCAUGGAGUGGGUUUUACCGGUAGCGUUAGCCUGUAACCGUAAGGAGGGCGAUUACCACGGUAGGAUUCAUGACUGGGGUGAAGUCGUAACAAGGUAGCUCU
rnacentral:rRNA from 1 species